AAAAAAAAAAAAGGAGCUUUCAUUUUAGUAGUAGUGCUGGUGAAGAAAUGAUAAACAGUAUCCAUAAAAUCAUGACACUUUCAAUAAUGAUAAGUGAAAAUAUCCUGAAAAAUAGAGAAAAACAAACCAGGAAGAAUGACAGGGGGUCACUGCUAGGGGUACAGUUUUUGGAAGGGUGGGCAAGGAAGGCCUCACUGAAAAGGUGUCUUCCAGACCAAGCUGUAAAUGAGGUGAGGAGGGAGCCACACAGACUCCUGGGAAGAGCAUUCUGGACAAGACAAGAGCAAGGACGAAGGCUCUGGGGCCAGAGCAUAUGCCAAGUUCAAAGACGCCAGGAGACUGGAAUCAGGAUGAGAAGGGGUUGCUGAGGAUUCCCGGAGGCCUUGAAGGAAUUGGAAAGGGCUGGACAGGACUCCUGGAUCCAGCUUGCAAAGAGCGGCUCAGAGCCCCAGCCUUCCUGAACCCAAAAUACAAAGAUAGGCAGUCGGAGUCUGAAGAUCUGGAAAGCUCAAUUUGAGGCUGCCUAACCACCAG